rnacentral:rRNA from 1 species
GGGAUAACGUAGGGAAACUUACGCUAAUACCGCAUACGACCUACGGGUGAAAGCGGAGGACCUUCGGGCUUCGCGCGAUUGAAUGAGCCGAUGUCGGAUUAGCUAGUUGGCGGGGUAAAGGCCCACCAAGGCGACGAUCCGUAGCUGGUCUGAGAGGAUGAUCAGCCACACUGGAACUGAGACACGGUCCAG